GGAGACAGAUUUCUUCCCUUCGGGGACCUAGUGACAGGUGCUGCAUGGCUGUCGUCAGCUCGUGUCGUGAGAUGUUGGGUUAAGUCCCGCAACGAGCGCAACCCUCGUCGUUAGUUGCCAUCAUUUAGUUGGGCACUUUAAGGAAACUGCCGGUGAUAAGCCGGAGGAAGGUGGGGAUGACGUCAAGUCCUCAUGGCCCUUACAGGCUGGGCUACACACGUGCUACAAUGGCGUUGACAGUGGGCAGCUAGACCGCAAGGUCAUGCUAAUCUCUAAAAGACGUCUCAGUUCGGAUUGUUCUCUGCAACUCGAGAGCAUGAAGGCGGAAUCGCUAGUAAUCGCGGAUCAGCAUGCCGCGGUGAUACGUUCCCAGGCCUUGUACACACCGCCCGU
rnacentral:rRNA from 1 species